UUUGCCCCCGGUUGAGUACGGAAAUAUGUGUAAGAUUUCUUUAACAAUUUCCUUAAUAAAGGGUGGCCAAAGCAAAUGUUGCCAGCUGGCGAGCCUUUGUCAUUUAUUAAUUAAAUGACGCACAGCCAGCGGCAGCGACAGCU
rnacentral:snoRNA from 1 species